rnacentral:rRNA from 1 species
GGAUGCGAUCAUACCAACACUAAAGCAUCGGAUCCCAUCAGAACUCCGAAGUUAAGCGUGCUUGGGCGAGAGUAGUACUACGAUGGGUGACCUCCUGGGAAGUCCUCGUGUUGUAUUCC